ensembl:lncRNA
CGGAGGCGAGCGCUGUACUUGAUGUUCUUCAGUGAUGGUUGAUCAACCGAAGCUGUUCCUCCAAGACCUUCCAGAGCUCCAAAUGAACCACGGUGAAGGGGACCCGCUGUGAGCUGGCCGUGUACAAUGCUUCACUAAAGCUCCUUAUUAUUUGUAGAACAUGGUGGCUUACUUCUGUGUGUAUAUAGUUAUAGUGAAGAGGCUGAAAUGAUGAGUCUCGCAUAAUCAGCUUAAAUAAAUAUUUACAAUUUCCGUUCCAGUUUCUCUGCUGAGCACAAACUUGGGCAAUGCCAACACUGAAAACUCAUCAUGUGUUUUACUUUUUAUCAUUUGGCUCAUGUCCUCAUGCAUAGUCAUGAAAGCACUGCUGUCAAUGCCACGUUAGCUGCCAACAACUCGGCAUAUAUGACCUACAUACACUUACCAAGUGCUGAUAUACAAUUCAUCUGAUAACCUUUAAAAUCGAGAAACAUGUUUCAUUUUACAUACAUAAGUACACAUACAAAGUAUGUAUACCUACUAAUACAUACGUAGACAAAGUAUACGUGCGUACACAUACAUAGUAUGUGUACAUAUACAGACUAAUACAUACAAGGACAAACAAACAUAUACAUACAUAUACAAAAGUAAGGACGCAUUACGCAUACAUACACAUGUAGACCUAGCUAAACAUACAAAUAUAUUCUCAUACAUUCGUACACAUACUCUUACAUACAAACAUACAUAAGUCCACAAACAUAUUUAUACAUACAUAUACACAUAAGGACGCAUACAUACGUAUACAUAAGUUUACAUACGUACGCAUACAUAUACAUAUGUACACAUAGCUAAACAUACUCAAACAUACGUACACAUGCGUAAACAUACGUAUAUAUGUAUACAUACUCAUACAUACGUGCACAUAGUGUGAUAACUGGGUAGAGUAAUUAAAACAUGUUAAUCUGCUGGUCCACUAGGUGGCAGCAACUCUCGAUUGUUACGGUUGAGUUAACCUAUAUUAAAGCACAGAACAAGUUCAGUCAGUGAUGUGCCCCGGUUUUGCCAUGAUAAGUUAAGCUGCACACUGUGUUCGUCAGGAACGAAAUAAAGCUCCUCCAAUGUGCAAUAACAAGCCUCCCAUGAGUUACUACAUAAAUGGCGACGAG